rnacentral:rRNA from 1 species
AACGAACGCUGGCGGCAUGCCUAACACAUGCAAGUCGAACGAGACCUUCGGGUCUAGUGGCGCACGGGUGCGUAACGCGUGGGAACCUGCCCUUAGGUUCGGAAUAACUCCCCGAAAGGGGUGCUAAUACCGGAUAAUGUCUUCGGACCAAAGAUUUAUCGCCUUUGGAUGGGCCCGCGUUGGAUUAGCUAGUUGGUAGGGUAAAAGCCUACCAAGGCGACGAUCCAUAGCUGGCCUGAGAGGAUGAUCAGCCACACUGGGACUGAGACACGGCCCAGACUCCUACGGGAGGCAGCAGUGGGGAAUAUUGGACAAUGGGCGAAAGCCUGAUCCAGCAAUGCCGCGUGAGUGAUGAAGGCCUUAGGGUUGUAAAGCUCUUUUACCCGGGAUGAUAAUGACAGUACCGGGAGAAUAAGCGCCGGCUAACUCCGUG